UUGAAAGGGGCCAAAAUUGCCCCUAAACUAUACGGGUAGAACACUUUUUUCCUUUUCCGUACGAAUUUUUGAUUUUUUUUUUUUUUUAAAAGAUUCCGUUAGUUGAGACGGCAAAAAUGACACAUUUUGGUAACGGCGGGGGGAAAGAAACAACCCAACUAUUAACGGAGGGCAAAAGUGUCGUAUUAAGGACAAUUUUGGGCCUUUUUUUAUUCUUUUAGUUAAAUAACUAUAGAGAAAUUAAGGAAAAUGCUCCUCGGAAGCCAUUUCACUACUAUAAGGUCACAACUUAGGAUCACAAAGAAAGGAAUAACUGUGACGGGGCGAACACUUCCUCCAAAUUUGGUAACAAAAAGUCACGGUCUGCCGCUUAUAGGCCUCAUAAGAGCCCCAACAGCUCGUAAUUUCCCUAAAAUUCAGUUUCCCUAAUCUAAUGCGGGAAGCUAUUCAAGCCUAAGAAACUUGAGAGCCACAUGAAAUCCUGCAAAGGAAUGAAAGCCCUGGCAAGAGGUAGAAUUCCUAUUAUUACAUCUGAGAAGUCAUCCAAGCAUCCAUCACAAGUCGACUCUGUUUCUGGAUAUUACUUGGCUCAUUAGAUUCUUUUCUCGAAUUAUUUUUUCUUUUGUUUUGGAUUUAGAAUUUGCAUUUCAAUAGGAUACUUGUACAACUCUCCAUGUAAAGUGGAAUUGAUAUAAUCUGAUAUGUAAUGAAAUGAGAGAAGGAAGAAGAUGAUAUGAUGAUGAAGAAGAAAAGAAGUAUUAUUCA